rnacentral:rRNA from 1 species
AAUCAACGCUGGCGGCGUGCCUAACACAUGCAAGUCGCACGAGAAAGGGUCUUCGGAUCUGAGUAAAGUGGCGCACGGGUGAGUAACACGUGAAUUAUCUACCUUCGAGUGGGGAAUAACUUCGGGAAACCGAGGCUAAUACCGCAUAAUAUCUACGGAUCAAAGCAGUAAUGCGCUUGAAGAGGAGUUCGCGGCAGAUUAGUUAGUUGGCGGGGUAAUGGCCCACCAAGACGAUGAUCUGUAUCCGGCCUGAGAGGGCGCACGGACACACUGGAACUGAAACACGGUCCAGACUCCUACGGGAGGCAGCAGUGGGGAAUGUUGCGCAAUGGGGGAAACCCCGACGCAGCAACGCCGCGUGGAGGAUGAAGUCUCUUGGGACGUAGACUCCUUUCGAUAGGGAAGAUUAUGACGGUACCUAUAGAAGAAGCCCCGGCUAACUUCGUGCCAGCAGCCGCAGUAA